UGAUUAGCAUUCUAGGGACAAAC
rnacentral:piRNA from 1 species